ensembl:lncRNA
AGGUCCAGCUGGUCCUAGAAAGAAACGUCCGUGCUGCGUUGAGGUCACCAACCUCGAUAUGAUCACUGAGAUGCUGAGGCUGAUACGACCGGCUCCCCUUAUUUUGACUCCGGUCAGUGAGCCAGACCACCGGUGGAAAUGUCUGUGAAGAUCCUCUCCGUCACUCUCCUCCUGGUCUCAAUGUGUGUGUGCUGCCACUCCUCUGAAGAUAAGACAAAUCAGUCUUUAACCUUCUAUGUCUCAAGUGCUCGUCUUCCUGGAAUUAAACCACCGUGAAUUAAACCAAAGGCAAUGUGAGUGCUGACGUGGUGGGGGAAAC